rnacentral:rRNA from 1 species
AUUGAACGCUGGCGGCAGGCCUAACACAUGCAAGUCGAGCGGAUGAAGGGAGCUUGCUCCUGGAUUCAGCGGCGGACGGGUGAGUAAUGCCUAGGAAUCGGCCUGGUAGUGGGGGAUAACGUCCGGAAACGGGCGCUAAUACCGCAUACGUCCUGAGGGAGAAAGUGGGGGAUCUUCGGACCUCACGCUAUCAGAUGAGCCUAGGUCGGAUUAGCUAGUGGGUGGGGUAAAGGCCUACCAAGGCGACGAUCCGUAACUGGUCUGAGAGGAUGAUCAGUCACACUGGAACUGAGACACGGUCCAGACUCCUACGGGAGGCAGCAGUGGGGAAUAUUGGACAAUGGGCGAAAGCCUGAUCCAGCCAUGCCGCGUGUGUGAAGAAGGUCUUCGGAUUUUAAAGCACUUUAAGUUGGGAGGAAGGGCAGUAAGUUAAUACCUUGCUGUUUUGACGUUACCAACAGAAUAAGCACCGGCUAACUUCGUG